rnacentral:ncRNA from 1 species
UAACUAUUCUGGUUUUCUCUUCACGAGAAAUUAAAAGGGAACAAUGUGUAAUUCAUUGACUGUCCCGCAACUGUAAGUAUCUAAAGGAAUUAUUAAUAGCCACUGCCAAAUGGUGGGAAGGCAAUAAUUUUGAUACAAGUCAGGAGACCUGCCUUAAUAGUA